rnacentral:rRNA from 1 species
GACGAACGCUGGCGGCGUGCUUAACACAUGCAAGUCGAACGGUGAAGCGCCUUCCUUUUUGGUGGGUGUGGAUGAGUGGCGAACGGGUGAGUAACACGUGAGUAACCUGCCCCCUUCUUCUGGAUAACCGCAUGAAAGUGUGGCUAAUACGGGAUAUUCUGGGUCUGUCGCAUGAUGGGUCUGGGAAAGAUAUUGUUUCGGUGGGGGAUGGGCUCGCGGCCUAUCAGCUUGUUGGUGGGGUGAUGGCCUACCAAGGCGGUGACGGGUAGCCGGCCUGAGAGGGUGGACGGUCACACUGGGACUGAGACACGGACCAGACUCCUACGGGAGGCAGCAGGGGGGAAUAUUGCACAAUGGGCGCAAGCCUGAUGCAGCGACGCCGCGGGAGGGAUGGAGGCCUUCGGGUUGUGAACCUCUUUCGCCAGUGAAGCAGGCCUGCCUCGUUUGUGGGUGGGUUGACGGUAGCUGGAUAAGAAGCGCCGGCUAACUACGUG